CUAUGCGCCUUGCCAGCCCGCUCAGUCAGAGUUUGAUCCUGGCUCAGGACAAACGCUGGCGGCGUGCCUAAAACAUGCAAGUCGUACGGUCCUUCGGGACAGUGGCGAACGGCUGAGUAACACGUGGGUAACCUACCCUCGAGUGGGGGAUAACCCUCCGAAAGGAGGGCUAAUACCGCGUACGUUCACCGGAUCUCGGUUCGGUGAGGAAAGCAGUAAUGCGCUCGAGGAUGGGCCUGCGUCCGAUUAGCUAGUUGGUGGGGUAAUGGCCCACCAAGGCUUCGAUCGGUAGCUGGUCUGAGAGGAUGAUCAGCCAGACUGGGACUGUGACACGGCCCAG
rnacentral:rRNA from 1 species